UUGGGAAUUUUGCACAAUGGGGGAAACCCUGAUGCAGCGACGCCGCGUGAUUUAGAAGGCCUUCGGGUUGUAAAAAUCUUUUCUAUGGGAAGAAAAUGACAGUACCAUAGGAAUAAGGACCGGCUAAUUACGUGCCAGCAGCCGCGGUAAUACGUAAGGUCCGAGCGUUGUCCGGAAUCAUUGGGCGUAAAGGGUACGUAGGCGGGUAAGCAAGUUAGAAGUGAAAUCCUAUAGCUCAACUAUGGUAAGCUUUUAAAACUGCUCAUCUUGAGGUAUGGAAGGGAAAGUGGAAUUCCUAGUGUAGCGGUGAAAUGCGCAGAUAUUAGGAGGAAUACCGGUGGCGAAGGCGGCUUUCUGGCCAUAACCUGACGCUGAGGUGCGAAAGCGUGGGUAGCAAACAGG
rnacentral:rRNA from 1 species